GAAUUGUUUUUACAAUAUUAUCAAUAAUUUAAUUUAAUAAUGGAUUACUGCAUUAUCAUUGCUCUGUUAUCAAAUGGGAUUGGGCUGUUUGCAAAUACUCUAGGAGUUUGUUCAAAGAAAGGAGAACCGUUGAUAUGCUGCGAAAACUACCGCAAAGUUGGUGAAGCCUGCGAAGAAUGUUGGCCAGGAACGUUUGGUGUUAAUUGCACUCCAUGCCCUCCAAAUUUUUAUGUAAAGC